ensembl:lncRNA
UACAUUUGAAUCAAAUCCCUGAAUACACUUGAAAAGGAAUUGUCCAGUAGUACAGUAGGAUGCUGUACUACUGAAUGGUCAGGUCAGAGGUGUAGAAGGGUCAGGUCAGAGGUGUAGAAGGGUCAGGUCAGAGGUGUAGAAGGGUCAGGUCAGAGGUGUAGAAGGGUCAGGUCAGAGGUGUGAUUGGGUCAGGUCAGAGGUGUAGAAGGGUCAGGUCAGAGGUGUGAUUGGGUCAGGUAAGAGGUGUAGAAGGGUCAGGUCAGAGGUGUAGAAGGGUCAGGUCAGAGGUGUAGAAGGGUCAGGUCAGAGGUGUAGAAGGGUCAGGUCAGAGGUGUAGAAGGGUCAGAGGUGUAGAAGGGUCAGGUCAGAGGUGUAGAAGGCUCAGAGGUGUAGAAGAGUCAGGUCAGAGGUGUAGAAGGGUCUGGUCAGAGGUAUAGAAGGGUCAGGUCAGAGGUGUAGAAGGGUCAGAGGUGUAGAAGGGUCAGGUCAGAGGUGUAGAAGGCUCAGAGGUAUAGAAGAGUCAGGUCAGAGGUGUAGAAGGGUCAGAGGUGUAGAAGGGUCUGGUCAGAGGUGUAGAAGGGUCUGGUCAGAGGUGUAGAAGGGUCAGGUCAGAGGUGUAGAAGGGUCAGGUCAGAGGUGUAGAAGGGUCAGGUCAGAGGUGUAGAAGGGUCAGGUCAGAGGUGUGAUUGGGUCAGGUCAGAGGUGUGAUUGGGUCAGGUCAGAGGUGUGGAAGGGUCAGGUCAGAAGUGUGGAAGGGUCAGGUCAGAAGUGUGGAAGGGUCAGG